UAUGUUUAGAAUUUCCCAAAUCUGAUAUAGUAAAAAAAUGUUUGAAAUCGGCGCUUAAGAUGCUUGAACAUAAUUACAUGUAUUGCCACUGGAUUACAACAUAUACUAUACAUUAUGUGGGUCAAACAAUCUCACAGAUUCUCAUCACCACGCAAUCGAUUCCAGUAGUACACAAUCCAAAUUAAUUUCUGUGACCAGAGAUUGAACGGACCUUAAGCGAAAAUUUUUAUUGUUGUUAAUAAUGGCUUUAGACGUAAUAUAUAAAGAUAAAAGUGUUACCUUCUAUAGCACAUCUUCACUAUGUUGAUUUACAUCCAUAAAUAACAAAAACUAUUUAUUUUCAUCACUGAUUUCUUCGUCACUACACAAAUCGUGGUUAAUUAAUUAAUCACCAAUGGAGGCUGUUUAAUUAGUCAGAUGAAAUGAACAAAUCCGGUGAUGAAUGCGAGAUACUUACAUUAAGUUCCAGAGGAGCUAAUACUAAAAAAUUUUUGCGAUUUGGUCUGGUCAAAGAGUUACACAAAAAAUGUACGUCGUGAAUUCAUCGAAAUAAAUGAAAUUAUAAAUGCGUGUACUGAAGUGUCAGUUCGACCAAAUUUCAUCUUGAGAUGUUUCAAUCUUUCAGCAAAAGACAACACGUAAGACGUUUACUUGAUCAGAUAACGUCUCAAAUGCGUAAAGCUUUCAUAUUGAAUCUCCAACAGACGGAUAACAAAAUAAUACUGGAGAUGAGCAAAUAUUUUCAAUAUUAUGAAUACUACAUUUGAUGAAUCGAUAUCCUGGAUUAAAAAUAUAUUCCAUAACAG